UGAGGCCCUGAAAUAAGUGAGGCUUCCUGCUCGCUCUGGGUGCUCAGCACCAGGUGGAAAAGCAUGCUGCUUUUAUUUAGCUGCCUAAAUAUGGUCGGGGAAGGGCUGAACUUUGGAUCCCCCUCACCGAACACUUCAACCUGCCCUCUUCCUCCCGGCCUUUGCUACCACUCUAAAGCAAAUCCACUGAGCUUCGGGAUGGAUGUUUCAGAAUUAGCUGGGUGGGCCUCUGGUUUUGUAGAUAAUCAGAGAAAAGGUGCCACACAGCACUGCAGGAAUCUGUGUUCUCCUCCCCCCCGCCGUGCUCUUGUGAGUGGCUGCCCGGGAGGCUCUGCCAGUCCUACUGACGCUGGAUCAGAAGCAGCAGAUCUAGAGGCUUCCUGGGAUUUCACCCAAAGAAUAUUUAAACCCCAGACCUUGAUCCUACAGCUUUCUCCAGAAACACAGUGAAAUGGAAGAAGUGCAAGGAAGCGGCUGGAGCUGAAAGAACCUCAUUACAGCCCCGACUGCGAAGAGCACAGGCCAGAAUGUUCAGAAGAGCCCAGUUCCCAUUUGGACAAGGGGCCAGAGAUGGGCCUGUUGGGGCAAACAGAGAAAAGUGGGCAGAACAGUCACCGAAUCGGCCUCGUUCCAUGGGACACAGUCUGGUCCGAUCUGUAUUGCUCAAUCCCAUGGGAAAAGAUCAACCAUUAACAGGUGUAACAUGAUGGCUGAAUGUCUCGUGCCCCCCCCCCGAUCCACACAGAGGAUGAACACUUACUAUGUUCGGGCAGGAGGAGCCUAUUAGGAUCCUGGAGUGACCUUCUGCAUAGCAGAGGCCACAGAAUCUCAUCCAGUGACUCCUGUAUUCAAUCCAGGACUUCUGGGUGAAGCAGAACUAUUGGCGAGAUCCAGUCUUGUCAGUUGUUAAUUAUUCGUCUUCCCAUGGUACUGAGGUGCCCCGGUCCAGCACCAGGGCCCCCUUGUGCUAGACAUUGUACAAACACAAAACUAACAGUGAAUUUACAAUGGCCCUACGUCAGCUGGUCAAUUAUUCUCAUUAUAACUUGUACCUUAUUUCCUGUUUGAAUUUGUCUAGCUUCUAUUUCCAGCCAUUGGCUCUUGCUCUGCCUUUCUCUGCUAGUUUGACGAGAUUUCUACAAUCAGAAAUCUUUGCAUCAUGUAGGGGCUUCUGUACCAUGAUCAACCGUCCUCUAAAUCUUUUCUUGGAUAAACUAAGUGGUUUGAACUUCGCAAGUAGGGCUGGCCAGACAAUAAGAAUCCCAUUGCAUAAGAGGUUUUCCCAUUUGGGUUAUUGAGAGCUUUAGAAAUUUUUCAUGAAAAAACAGAGCGCGCCCCAUGUAAUUUGGGGAAUCUGUCUAUGUACAAUGUAUGAAUUCUGGCUGAUUUAAUGAAAUUGCUGCAUCAUUAAAUACAUCAGCGGCUAGUGAGUCAAUCAUGAGCUGACAGGAUCCUUGCUGUGUAUCAGCCAUCCUGUCUGGAAGAAGCUACAGAACAACCAAAAGAAGUUGUUAACCUCAUCACCUGGGGUCUGGCCAAACCAUGGAUAUGCUAAGAAGGGUGCCUGAGUGGGAAGACACUGAUCUGUAAGGAGCGGGGUUUGGAGCACUGGAAAAAGAAAGCGAGAGGAAGGAUGGCGGCGUGUUUAGGGCUCUAGCCUAAGACUCAGAACCCAAGUUCACUUCCUGUGUGACCUGGGGAAAGUCACUUAGCUGCUCUGUGCCUCAGUUUCCCCAUCUGUAAAGAUGGGGAUGAUAAUUUUCCCCUACCUCACAGGGGUGUUGUGAGGAUAGGUGAUCUAAACAAAAUAGAACACCUGCACCCCAUUCCCUGCCUCAGUUUCCUCACCACUCUUGAAUUUGGUCAGAGACCUCUUGGGUCCAGGAUAUACCCCUCCACUUCUCCUGCAUG